CAAAGGGAUUACCGGUGGCGGAUGGGCAUGCGGCGCAUUAGCUAGUCGGCGGGGUAACGGCCCACCGAGGCGACGAUGCGUAGGGGUUCUGAGAGGAAGGUCCCCCACACUGGUACUGAGACACGGACCAGACUCCUACGGGAGGCAGCAGUGAGGAAUAUUGGUCAAUGGGCGCGAGCCUGAACCAGCCAAGUCGCGUGAGGGAUGACGGUCCUACGGAUUGUAAACCUCUUUUGCCGGGGAGCAAGCGUGCGUUCGUGAACGCGCGUCGAGAGUACCCGGAGAAAAAGCAUCGGCUAACUCCGUGCCAGCAGCCGCGGUAAUACGGAGGAUGCGAGCGUUAUCCGGAUUUAUUGGGUUUAAAGGGUGCGUAGGCGGGAUGCCAAGUCAGCGGUAAAAAUGCGGUGCUCAACGCCGUCGAGCCGUUGAAACUGGCGUUCUUGAGUGGGCGAGAAGUAUGCGGAAUGCGUGGUGUAGCGGUGAAAUGCAUAGAUAUCACGCAGAACUCCGAUUGCGAAGGCAGCAUACCGGCGCCCUACUGACGCUGAGGCACGAAAGCGUGGGUAUCGAACAGGAUUAGAUACCCUGGUAGUCCACGCAGU
rnacentral:rRNA from 1 species